rfam:Marine metagenome 560452, whole genome shotgun sequence.
GAGGGUAUGGUCCCUCGAAGCCGACCGUCAGGGGUAGGUUUCAAACCACUGCAAGCUGCAACGGUAAAGAGCCGUGGUGGUGAGCGUUGCAGAAAAGGCGGACGUUAGUCCGUCAGGU